UGACAAAACCUCGUGACAAGACCGAGA
rnacentral:piRNA from 1 species